GAUGACGCUGGCGGCGUGCCUAAUACAUGCAAGUCGAGCGAGCGGCGGACGGGUGAGUAAUGUCUGGGAAACUGCCUGCUGUAGGGGGAUAACUACUGGAAACGGUAGCUAAUACCGCAUACCAUCAGAUGGGCCCAUAUGGUGUUAGCUGGUAGGUGGGGUAAUGGCUCACCUAGGGGACGAUCCCGAGCUGGUCUGAGAGGAUGACCAGCCACACGGGAACAGAGACACGGUCCAGACGCCUACGGGAGGCAGCAGGGGGGAAGAGGGCACAAUGGGCGCAAGCCUGAUGCAGCCAUGCCGCGUGUGGGAAGAAGGCCUUCGGGUUUUAAAGCACUUUCAGCGAGGAGGCGUUACUCGCAGAAGAAGCACCGGCUAACUCCGUGCCAGCAGCCGCGGUAAUAC
rnacentral:rRNA from 1 species